CCUAAUGAUCCUCGGAUGUGACUGACUGUUGAACUUCAUCGUCAUCGUUUCAGUUCUGCGCAAUUUCACCUCCUCUGCUCAUAUAUUUCAUAUAUUUUUGUAUGAUUCGUUAGGCAAAUGCAGUGCUGGGUGAAAUUGUACCAGGAAGUGAAGGAGCUGAGGGAAAUCACUGAUGAUGAUCGGUAGCUAUACUGGUUUAGGAAGAAGCUGUCAAAACAGAACAAGCACGCCAAAGAGCUUGAGGAAUCUCUGGGACUUUUGAGCGAGAAGCUGUGUAAAACUAACUGCAGAAGGUUACCGUGUUAGUGUGUGACAGAGAGGGAAGAUGCAGCAUGCGCAGAACAAAUAAGAGGGCUUAGGAGUUCUCUAGCUUCAUAGAGUUUCAAGAGAAAGAGAUGAAAACGUUUAUGGAGAAGAGGGAGGGGGAGAGGUAGAAGAAGAUAUAAUUCGAGGACAUGCUUGAGCUAGAGAGGGAAUUUGAUGUCAUUGGAGCUGUUCAUGAACAAGAACGACCUUCACGAUGCAGAUGAUGCACACUUGCUUUCAUGUUGUGCUUUUGGUAUCGAAUCUAAGGAGAUUUGAGGAAGACUAUCAUCCUCAAUUUUAGUAGCAAAUUCGGUAUAGAAAGCUGGUUAACCAAAGGAAGAAGAUGACCCGCAACUGCCAUUGCUGAAACCUCUGCUAAAAGAACAUGAGUUAUUUGUUCACUGCAAGUACGUCUCAGUAGAUUGAAAGAAGUCUCAGAAUUUUU